UCUCUGUUAGUAUAUCGGUUAGUACACGCGCCUGUCAAUCUUCGGGUCGCGCGAAAGCGGGGUUCGACUCCCCGACAGAGAG